ACUGAACGCUGGCGGCAGGCUUAACACAUGCAAGUCGAGCGGGGUGAUGGUGCUUGCACUAUCACUUAGCGGCGGACGGGUGAGUAAUGCUUAGGAAUCUGCCUAUUAGUGGGGGACAACAUCUCGAAAGGGAUGCUAAUACCGCAUACGUCCUACGGGAGAAAGCAGGGGAUCACUUGUGACCUUGCGCUAAUAGAUGAGCCUAAGUCGCAUUAGCUAGUUGGUGGGGUAAAGGCCUACCAAGGCGACGAUCUGUAGCGGGUCUGAGAGGAUGAUCCGCCACACUGGGACUGGGACACGGCCCAGACUCCUACGGGAGGCAGCAGUGGGGAAUAUUGGACAAUGGGGGGAACCCUGAUCCAGCCAUGCCGCGUGUGUGAAGAGGGCCUUAUGGUUGUAAAGCACUUUAAGCGAGGAGGAGGCUCUUUUGGUUAAUACCCAAGAUGAGUGGACGUUACUCGCAGAAUAAGCACCGGCUAACUCUGUGCCAGCAGCCGCCGUAA
rnacentral:rRNA from 1 species